GGGGAUUUAGCUCAGUGGUAGAGCGCUUGCCUAGCAAGCGCAAGGCUCUGGGUUCGAUCCCCAGCUCCG
rnacentral:tRNA from 1 species